GACGAACGCUGGCGGCGUGCUUAACACAUGCAAGUCGAACGGAAAGGCCCUGCUUUUGUGGGGUGCUCGAGUGGCGAACGGGUGAGUAACACGUGAGUAAACUGCCCUUGACUUUGGGAUAAAUUCAGGAAAAUGGGGAUAAUACAGGAUAGGAGAUUCUGCUGCAUGGUGGGGGUUGGAAAGUUUCGGAGGUUGGGGAUGGAAUCGCGGCUUAGCAGCUUGUUGGUGGGGUAGUGGCUUACCAAGGCAUUGACGGGUAGCCGGCCUGAGAGGGUGACCGGCCACAUUGGGACUGAGAUACGGCCCAGACUCCUACGGGAGGCAGCAGUGGGGAAUAGUGCACAAUGGGCGGAAGCCUGAUGCAGCAACGCCGCGUGCUGGAUGACGGCCUUCGGUUUGUAAACCGCUUUCGCCUGUGACGAAGCGUGAGUGACGGUAAUUGGUAAAGAAGCACCGGCUAACUACGUG
rnacentral:rRNA from 1 species